UAACGGAGGAGGCUAUACAUUAUCCUUUCUAGUUUUAGGUUCUUUAUCACCUUUAACUUGAAGGAAAACGUUCCAGCCUAUUCAUUCAAAUUAUAGAAUAGUUCUUUCAUUUUUGAAAAUUGAUUCAUGACCUUGGAGUUCUCUUGGAGCAAAAGAAAAGUUGGGAAAGAAAGAAGCCUCUCGGCCAAGGUGGUUCUAGCCGAGCAAUGGAGGAUUGAGGGGGAGAAAUCAUGCCUCAAAGUGUUGAAAUUAUUCAAGUGAUUAGCAAGGUUAAGAAGCUGAGUUUAUGGAGGUUGAGAUAUUAUUGGGCAGCGUAUACGUGUUGUGUGGCGAAUAAACGCUAAAGAUACAGGUGCUCACGUUGGUAACCCGCCAGCUUAGGAGUCCUAUUCAGCUAUCUUGGAGAGCUCCCUUGUCCCGGAGACUAGAUUUUGGUACAGAAUCUCUGUGGUGUAUAUGUAUUUUAUCCAGGGGUACGGCGGGGCCCUAUCCCGUCAUAUGAUACUGUUGUUACUCUUAGAGGUCUGUAGACAUAUGUGUGGGUUGUGUAUCGAUGUUGUUCAGUUGUGUCUAUAUGGCUUGUGUUUUGGGACGUUCCCAUUCGUAGUGGC